UAGUCCACGCCGUAAACGAUGAAUGCUAGCUGCUGGGUUAAUUACCGACUCAGUGGCGUCGCUAACGCAUUAAGCAUUCCACCUGGGGAGUACGAUCGCAAGAUUGAAACUCAAAGGAAUUGACGGGGGCCCGCACAAGCGGUGGAGCAUGUGGUUUAAUUCGAUGAUACGCGAGGAACCUUACCAGGGCUUAAAUGUAGUGGGACAGGUCUAGAGAUAGACCCUUCUUCGGACUCAUUACAAGGUGCUGCAUGGUUGUCGUCAGCUCGUGCCGUGAGGUGUCAGGUUAAGUCCUAUAACGAGCGCAACCCUUGUCGUUAGUUGCCAGCAAGUAAAGUUGGGGACUCUAGCGAGACUGCCGGUGCAAACCGAGAGGAAGGUGGGGAUGACGUCAAAUCAUCACGGCCCUUACGUCCUGGGCUACACACGUGCUACAAUGGUAUGGACAAUGAGCAGCCACUACGCGAGUAGGAGCGAAUCUACAACCAUAUCA
rnacentral:rRNA from 1 species